AUUGAACGCUGGCGGCAGGCCUAACACAUGCAAGUCGAGCGGUAGCACAGAGAGCUUGCUCUCGGGUGACGAGCGGCGGACGGGUGAGUAAUGUCUGGGAAACUGCCUGAUGGAGGGGGAUAACUACUGGAAACGGUAGCUAAUACCGCAUAAUGUCGCAAGACCAGAGUGGGGGACCUUCGGGCCUCAUGCCAUCAGAUGUGCCCAGAUGGGAUUAGCUAGUAGGUGGGGUAACGGCUCACCUAGGCGACGAUCCCUAGCUGGUCUGAGAGGAUGACCAGCCACACUGGAACUGAGACACGGUCCAGACUCCGACGGGAGGCAGCAGUGGGGAAUAUUGCACAAUGGGCGCAAGCCUGAUGCAGCCAUGCCGCGUGUGUGAAGAAGGCCUUCGGGUUGUAAAGCACUUUCAGCGGGGAGGAAGGCGUUAAGGUUAAUAGCCUCGGCGAUUGACGUUACCCGCAGAAGAAGCACCGGCUAACUCCGUGCCAGCAGCCGCGGUAA
rnacentral:rRNA from 1 species